rnacentral:rRNA from 1 species
GUCUUUUAGAUAAUAAUUUAAGGUUUGGUCUGCCCGGUGAUUGUAGAUUUAACGGCCGCAGUAUUUUGACUGUGCAAAGGUAGCAUAAUAAUUAGUUUUUUAAUUGGAAGCUUGUAUGAAUGAUUUAACGAGAAAAUGACUGUCUCUUUUUAAUAAUUUAAAUUUUAUUUUUAAGUGAAAAAGCUUAAAUAUAUUCAAGGGACGAGAAGACCCUAUAGAAUUUAAUAUUUUUAUAAUAGAUAAUUUUAUAGUAAUUUUAAUUUUUUAUUAUUGAAAUUAUUUAAUUGGGGAGAUUAUUAGAUUUAUUAAACUCUUUUUAUAUAAACAUUAAUUAGUGAUUAUAAUAGGAUUUAUGUUAUUGGUCUUAGACUAAAUUACCUUAGGGAUAACAGCGUAAUUUUUUUUGAAGUUCUUAUUUUUAUGAAAGAUUGCGACCUCGAUGUUGGAUUAAAGUGAAAUUUUGGUGCAGGGGCUAAUAAUUUAAGUCUGUUCGACUUUUAAAACUUUACA